CGCUGCUAACAUCGUUUCUCGUUCGAUCCCCGAAGUUAAGCAGUGUCGAGCCUGACCAGUACUUAGAUGGGGGACCGCUUUGUAACACUGGGUGCUGUAAU